GCCCCGGUUGGCAGGGGGAUUUCUCCCGGACGGCGUUUUGAACUCUCUACUGAGGAAACUGACCGGUGACGUCUGGGUCCAGUCGCUCAUGCCGAAGCCCCCCACGAGCGAGACCGGGGCGUGGGGCUUAUGUGACACCCGAGUCUCCUAACUGUACUCGACAAGGUACACAUUCUACAGUAUGCCCCUUUUGACCUGGAUGUUGUCUGGGAAGUCUUGGUCAAAUGAAAGACAAGCCAGAGCAAGGAGCGUCCCAGUCACAGGGGGGAACGGCCCACAGAGGCGGUGGCAGGCAGAGGUGGGGAUCCGUUCCUCUGAGAGGCCCCGUUCCUGCAGACACGCUCUGAAGAUGUCCUGAGCACAGGCCGUCACCCUCUUUUGGAUCUCCAAGAGAACCCGGGCACUGUAACAUACCUCAGAGGUUGCAAGCGCUGUCUUUAACAGCACAGUGAGUCGGGACACAGCAGUGUAAGCCCAUCAUCGGGGGACGUGCCAAAGAAUAUCCGGAAGAGAUCCCUAAAGGAGGACAUUUCUGGAGGUGGGUCUUCAUGGGUGUGCACCAAACAAGGGAUUGCUUAACUUUAUUUUUCCCAAUAAAAUCCUGUUCCUGUUUGGUCUUCA